rnacentral:lncRNA from 1 species
GGAUGAUUCACUGCGCCCUCUAAAAGGAGCGGCUGAACUUAUGUUCCUGUAAGAGACUCGACCUUGAGGAAACUGUGAGCAGGCACUGCGGGAAGCCUGGCUGUUGAAAAAUGAUGAGGGGCUUGGAGGACUUCCAAAUGCCAGAGAAUGUUGCAAAGGAAAUGUUCAGGGUUAAAGUAAAACAGUUAUCUUCCAUUCCUAAAACAGAGAAUAACAACAGCUUGAAGUGAAUGCAACUCUUCAGUCAUUUCAAAAGUAUUUUUAUAGUACUGUUCCUCAAGACUUUCCACAAAUGU